rnacentral:rRNA from 1 species
GACGAACGCUGGCGGCGUGCUUAACACAUGCAAGUCGAACGGUGAAGCGCCUUCCUUUUUGGUGGGUGUGGAUGAGUGGCGAACGGGUGAGUAACGCGUGAGUAACCUGCCCCCUUCUUCUGGAUAACCGCAUGAAAGUGUGGCUAAUACGGGAUAUUCUGGGUCUGUCGCAUGAUGGGUCUGGGAAAGAUAUUGUUUCGGUGGGGGAUGGGCUCGCGGCCUAUCAGCUUGUUGGUGGGGUGAUGGCCUACCAAGGCGGUGACGGGUAGCCGGCCUGAGAGGGUGGACGGUCACACUGGGACUGAGACACGGCCCAGACUCCUACGGGAGGCAGCAGUGGGGAUUAUUGCACAAUGGGCGCAAGCCUGAUGCAGCGACGCCGCGUGAGGGAUGGAGGCCUUCGGGUUGUGAACCUCUUUCGCCAGUGAAGCAGGCCUGCCUCGUUUGUGGGUGGGUUGACGGUAGCUGGAGAAGAAGCGCCGGCUAACUACGUG